ensembl:lncRNA novel transcript
GGUAACCCCAAAGGCAGCUCUUGAGGAAGGCAUGGAAACUGCCUUACCUCCCCUUUGCAGCCACAAAAGAGCAGUUCUCUUUUGAAUGGCCCCACACUCCUGCUUCUCCCCUUGCCUGCUGCCUUCAACCAGGCAGCUGGAAUGCAGUCCUAGACCACAGAGGGUCGGGCUGGGGCCCUGCGUGUUGCAGAAAAGGAGAGAAGCCAAAAAAUGGGAUGGAAUGUGCUCAAGGUCUCCUGAAGGUUUGGGGCAAGAAGGCCCAUGUCAAAAACCCAGUCUCAGCUUCUCAGCUUCCCCUUGUCAUUUCUCAGAGUCUGCAGAAGGGUUUUGUUUAGGGGUCCAGCCCCCCGGGCAGGCCACCGACCAGCCCAUUACAGGCUCUCCCAGGCACUGGAGUUCUGUUCCCUAAAUAAUGUUAUCAUUUAGACGGCAGCCCAAAUUGCAGAGGGGUGCAAAGCCACUGCACUUCCUCCUAGGCCAUCCAAGGCAGGAGUCAGCUAAUCACUCAUGCCUGGCUGGUUCAUGAAUAUUAAACCCAUCUCUCUCGCCAGUGCAUUUCAGUGGUCUCCAGGGAAGAGAAAGAUUGAGAAACUGAGGUCCAGGAAGUCAUGAGCCUAAAGGGCCACAUCCUUGGUGGGAGAAGCUGCAGCCCAGAUGGACUAAGAUAUCAGAGAAAGGGACUCGCAGAGACGGAGCAUCUACCGGAGAAGGUGGCCCAUGUCUAGGGCUGAGACUGGAUUGUUGGUCCACGUCAGGCGUCAGGAAAGCUGACGAGCACAUUCCUGAACCACUACAGCCUCAGGUUCAUGCAAACAGAGCUAACAGUGGCUUGGCCUCCCUGCCUGACCCUCUACCUCCGCUCUUGGAUGAAGGCAUGUGUGUUUGUAUUUCCCAAGGCUCAGCCCUGCACAGUGGGGAGCCCAGCUGGAUCCUUGAUGCCACAAAGACAACCAAUUGGUUCACACAGCCGGCGUGGAAUGCUCUCAGCUGCCAUUUCCUCCUCUCAGCUUUGGCACAACGAGGCUAAAAAUGACUAUUUCACAGGGCUUUUGUGAAGAUUAAAUAACAUAUAUCUC